ensembl:lncRNA
CAUAGCCACUCAUUGCUGAGUGAGCUCCCCUGUCCUGGAGAGAAGGCAGCAGGAGCCCGGGGAAUGUACUGGUCACCAGGUCCCAGCAGGGUCCUUGUCACUCUGACCCCAGGAAGCCACACUCGACCAGAAUUCAGAGGCAAGUGUAACAUAGCCGAAAAGGCAGAAUCUAACAGCUAACAUCUCCCAAGCCCUGACAGGUGCCAAGCACUCCGUAGGUAGGUGGCAAGCGCUCUCUCCUUCCCUCCACACAACGGUUCCACGGGGCAGGCACCAGGGCCAUCCCACUGCACAGAUGGGGGAGCUGAGAUGUCCAGUGACUUGCCCGUGGUCGGCCAGCUGGGAAGGAGGCUGGCCAGGGCUGAACUGAGCUGAUGACUCAGGGAUCAGCACCCCAGCCACUCCGCUGAGCUGCAAGCAAGAAGGGGUGAGAUCUACAAUCCAUGGCCUGACAAGAUCAUUUUAGUGUCAGGUUUUGGACCUCUGUGAGGUUUUAAAUGUCCAUUUCCGUCUGCCAAAGUUGAGAUACAGAGGUGGUGAUGGUGGAGGUGGAGAGGGUCGAGGGCAUGAGGUGCCUCAAAUUUUCCUGAUACGAUCGGCCACAGGCUCAGGAAGUAAGAGAGAUUGAUCAAUCAAUUUGUUCAUUCACUCAUUCAUUCAUUUUAUGUAUUUAUUAGGCGCCUAUUACGUCACAGGCCCACAUGCCAGAUGCUGGGGAUACAGCAGUGGAGAAGACGGGAGCCCAGUCAUGCAAAGAGACAACAAACAAACAAAAUAGGCAAAUAAACAGCAAGCGCUGCACCAAGAUUCCAAGUAGGAGCUCACGGGGCUAAGAGCUGCGACGCCCGGAGAGGUGGAGGCAACGUCCGUCCCUGAGUCCCUGCCUGUGCCAAGGCCCAGGGGUGGGAACCUGCUGGGCAUGUUCGGGGAGGAGCAGAAGGCCAAAGGGAGGAAGGCUCAGGGUCGUCUUCCCGGACAGAGCCUAGACGGGAGUCCAGGAGGCUUGCAAGGGAGAGAGGACGGAUCGGGACUGAAAGCCGCCGAAUGCUGCUCUUUGGAUUCAGGUGUGAGCCAGUGCUGCCCACGGACUCCUUCGUCCUCGGUACUUUCACGCGGCUGGGACGGUUUCACAGAUAACUGAUAAUUCCCUGGUACUCUGAACAUGAUGAUCAGAGGGACAGCGGACGAGAUUCCUCCGUGGGGUAAAGGCUGAGUCAGAUGAAAAGGAAAAAUGAAACGCUCCUCCACUGGAGGGAAGCUAGGAAAUCCAGCUCUGCGAGGUACAUUUCAGAGACGGUUAUUUCUACACGUAGAAGCAAGGCGAGGCACACUGCAUGAUUCCCGCCCACGUGACAUUCCAGGAUGAGCACAGCUACAGGGCCUGAACUCAGACCAGCGGUCACCAGCGGCUGGGGAGCAGGAGGGGACCGUUACCAACAGGCAUGGGGAACUUUCUGGGGUGAUGGAAAUGUUCUGCAUCCCCAUCACGGUGGUAGCUACUUGACUGUAUACCUUUGUCAAGACUCACAAAUCUGCAUGCUCAAAGGGUGAAUUUUCCUGAAUGUAAAUUAUAACUCAAAC